rnacentral:rRNA from 1 species
AGUGAACGCUGGCGGUAGGCCUAACACAUGCAAGUCGAACGGCAGCACAGUAAGAGCUCGCUCGGACGGGGGGCGAGGGGCGGACGGGGGAGGAAUACAUCGGCAUCUACUUUUUCGAGGGGGAUAACGUAGGGAAAAAUACGCUAAUACCGCAUACGACCUACGGGUGAAAGCAGAGGAUCUUCGGCCCUUGCGCGAUUGAAUGAGCCGAUGUCGGAUUAGCUAGUUGGUGGGGUAAAGGCUCACCAAGGCGACGAUCCGUAGCUGGUCUGAGAGGAUGAUCAGCCACACUGGAACUGAGACACGGUCCAGACUCCUACGGGAGGCAGCAGUGGGGAAUAUUGGACAAUGGGCGCAAGCCUGAUCCAGCCAUACCGCGUGCGUGAAGAAGGCCUUCGGGUUGUAAAGCCCUUUUGUUGGGAAAGAAAAGCAGUAGGUUAAUACCCCGCUGGUCUGACGGUACCCAAAGAAUAAGCACCGGCUAACUUCGUG